AUACAAAAUAUAUAAAAAACAACUUAGUGUUUUUUUCUUUAGGUAAGUCGCUAUCACAAACUUUGGUCGGGGCGUGGGCGACUUCUUUUUUUAUUUUGUU
rnacentral:antisense_RNA from 1 species